ACUUAGGUUUAGCUUAAUCAAUAGAGCGUGAGACUCUUGAUCUCAUGGUCGUAGGUUCGAAUCCCGCACUGGGCA